AUUGAACGCUGGCGGCAUGCCUUACACAUGCAAGUCGAACGGUAACAGGUCUUCGGAUGCUGACGAGUGGCAAACGGGUGAGUAAUACAUCGGAACGUGCCCGAUCGUGGGGGAUAACGAAGCGAAAGCUUUGCUAAUACCGCAUACGAUCUACGGAUGAAAGCAGGGGACCGCAAGGCCUUGCGCGAACGGAGCGGCCGAUGGCAGAUUAGGUAGUUGGUGGGAUAAAAGCUUACCAAGCCGACGAUCUGUAGCUGGUCUGAGAGGACGACCAGCCACACUGGGACUGAGACACGGCCCAGACUCCUACGGGAGGCAGCAGUGGGGAAUUUUGGACAAUGGGCGAAAGCCUGAUCCAGCCAUGCCGCGUGCAGGAUGAAGGCCUUUGGGUUGUAAACUGCUUUUGUACGGAACGAAAAGACUCUGGUUAAUACCUGGGGUCCAUGACGGUACCGUAAGAAUAAGCACCGGCUAACUACGUGCCAGCCGCCGCAGUAACAC
rnacentral:rRNA from 1 species